CUGCCGCAGCCACCUCCACCACCGCCACCGCGACCGCCGCCGCCGCCGCCGCCGCACCCGGCUGGGCCUUCGCAGUCGUCUCCAGAGCAUCCGUGAGUCAUUUCCUGCCCAUCUCUGGAUCAUAAUUCUUCAACUGGAGGAUACCAAUGGAGAUAUUGGAGAGGAAUGGGACAGGAGAAGGAGGAGAUCAUGGGAGGUAGAAGAGGAAAGUGGAAGUAGAUAAAGGGUGACAUCAUUUUUCAUCUGUACAUCACAGCUGGUCCCAAGAUGCUGUUUCAUUCUACCAGUCGUCAACUCAAGACCAAAGGUGAAUUACAAUGGAUAGGUGUAAGAGAAGCUAAAUGGAGUUUCCUGCUAUUUGUUUAACUUUUAACUAUUGAGAAUGGAGAAAGGGAUGGAAUUACAAAAGAAGAAUGGCCAUACUGAUUUCUAUGGUGGCUGUACAAGUUUGCACUCCUACCAGCAAUGAAGAAUUAUUCUCCUUGCAUCAUCACCAGCAUGUGCUCUCAUUGUGCUAUUGACAUUCCCCAUUCAAACUGAAGAAAAGAUUUGGCUUCAAAUAAAGUAAUAUUCAGAAGUUCUGAAGAUAAUGAUGUGAACUGGUCUUUCUAGGUUUUGGCCUUCUCUAGGCACCCUCCUCAGACUGCUGCCACACCAUCAUCAGAAUCAUCACUGUCAGCAGAUUUGUUUUGAUGAUCGUGUUCUGUUCCUGUAAGUUGAGGACAAUGAAAUGAAGCUAGGGUUUUUGCCACCAUGAUUGGUUUAUGUGAGGCAAGAAUCCAGGACCAUGCACAUACUAGAUUUCACUUAUAUGUCAGUGUAUGCAUAUAAACUUACUACUUAGAAUCCGGGUCCUCUGGGAAAGCAGCCAGUGCUCUUAACCACUGAGCCAUCUCUCCAGCCCCCAAGAACUGAAUUUUGUGUACCCCAGGAAUUCUGGGUCUCAACAUCUCUCUUGCCGAUUGGAAUCCCAGAGCUCCACCUGGGCUUGGCCGUGCAUCUCUGCAUCUGCUUCCAUCAGACACUGGAUAAGAGUUCUAUUAUGACAGCUAGGGUGUUCCGCCAUCCAAUCACCAGGGCAGGUCAGCUCAGGCACUCUCUUGACCAUUGCCAGUAGUCUACAGUUGGAGGUAUCUUUGUGGAUUUCUGGAGACCUCUCUAGCACUCUGCUUCGACACUUUACUCUUACUACUUAAGCAAUAGCUCAAAAUCUGUGAACGGUCUGAAAGUUGAAAUGAAGGGAUGUAGGUAAAGCACAUACAUGGUACUGUGAAUCACGGAAAGCACACAAGAAUGAAAGCUCUGAGAACCAAGGUAAUGUUUCUCAACUGAAUGAAUGCAUAGCAGUGUACUGCUCACUUCUUUGUAAAUUAUAAACUACAUGACAGUGAGUUUUGCUUCAGGAAAAGGUAGGUUACAUUGACUCAUUCUUCAAUGUAUAUAGUAUAGUGUGAAAAUUAGGAUGAUAAAACUAAUGAAAGCCAUAUCGGAUAAAAAAUGCAGUUGGGGUGUAUAUAAGGUAUAAUAAGGGCUCUCAUAAGUGUGUCCUCUAGGUACAUUCACUGUAACCUUCGUUACACUUCAUUUAAAAAAUUGAAAUAUAAAUUUAAAAAAAUCGAGGAAUUAUAUAAUAGUCUGUACACUGGUCACCUGUAAUCUACAACUAACAUUUAACAUAUUUGUUUUAUCACUUAUAUGAGCACUUUACAUUCAUUCAUUCAGACACAAAGUCUGAUAUAUUUUGGCACAUUUUGAAGUUGCUGAUAUCUGUACACUCAACUGCACAGAAUACAUAUCAUUAAGUGAAGUUAAAUAUUUACUCAUGUUCCCUUUCAAGAGGUAAAAUUUACAUAGUGAAAUGCACAUAUCAUAUGUACAAAAUGUCUUCUGACAAAAUUUAAUACCUAUGUAAAUCAGCAGCUGUAAACGUCUGUAAUAUAAUAACAAGGACAACAAUUUCCUUAAAUCACUUGCCUGCCUUUUUUUUUCAUAAAGUCGUCAUCUCUCCCACAGUUGCAAAUAUACUUUUGAUUUUUUAAAGAAGGAAAGGGAAAAUAUUUUAUGCACCAUGCAAAGGUUCAUGUUUAUUCCUCUAUACUGAAAGACAGUUGACAAGAGCAAAACUUACACAUUUAUUUGGCAUGUUAUCUAUUACAUGAGAAUCUUUAAUGACCUGAAUAAAUACAAAAAACUGUGGAAUUUUGUAGAAUGUAUAUACAAGUAUGUUUGGAAGACAAGGGGACAUGCUCUAAUGUCUAUAAACUGUAUGGGGAGUUGUUGUUUAGAAAGGACUGGGUGUUAAGGUUCUUCUCUGUCUUAACCUUCUUUUGUUUCCUUCAAAGGGAGGGGUCCCCUGCAGGGAGGAUUGCCCUGGAAUAAAGAUUGUGGAUCUUCUUCAUGGGAAACUUGGCAAGGGGAAUUCUAAUUUCAAUGAUCCCUUUUAGGAGACAAGGUGGAUGGGUGAAAGUCAGCUCUGAGGUCUCACAUAUGUGUAUUUUUCUAUUUCCUCCAGUUAAAAUUGCUUGCUAGACUGGGAUGUCAUAUUUAGGGCCAGUGUGUCCUGAACUACAUGAUCUCUUUUUAAACUUUAAGUAGCCUCUUGAGAGCACGAUGGAGUUCCUAUUAAAAUAUAAACAGUGUUUUCUACAAAAAUAUUAUCACUCGUGGAAACCUGAAAGAUUUUAAAUUAAAAAACAAAAAAUAAAAACCCAAGUUUCUCUUUUUCUCCAUUUUGGUCAAGAGGGGAACGUUUUGAUCUGUCAUAUACUGUGACCAUAAUGUAGUGCUUCUUCUCAAGCUUCCAAACCAUGAAGCUGACAUAUCAUGAAUUGAGAUAACUGAAAUUUAUGACUAAAGAUAAACCAUUUUGUUUAUAAAGUGAUGAUUUUAAAUAUUUGUCCUAAAUAUUGAAGGUUGAGUAUAUCAUAUUCCAGAUCAUUUCCAGAUCAAAUACCAUGACUAUUAUCUCCUUUCUUUUUUCCUGGAAGUAAUAUUUUCACAGGUCUUUCACUUAGAUCUUUCAAUUUUUUAAGCUUGAUUUUUGUAUAUUGGGUAAGCUAAGAAUUUAUUUUCAUUCUUUUCCACAUAGAUAACAUCACUUUUUGUCAUAUACUUCUUGAUAUAUGUGUUUAUUUUUGGAAUGCCUAUUAUUUGGUUUAUAUGACUGUGUUAAUGCUACUAUGACAAUCUCUUGAGUAAUAUAAUUUUACUAUAAUUAAUUAAUCAUUCAUUUUCUUCCAGCUCAGAAUGUCUUCAAACUCAUUGUGUAGUCUGUUAUUACCUUGAAAUCUGAUGCUCUUGCCUCCAUCUAUCAAGUGUUGGGGUUACAGAAUGCUCUCUACUACACCUGGCUUUCUUAAUAGGUCUUGAGUUGGAAAAUAUGAGACCUCCAAAUUUGUUCCUUCUGUUUAAUAUCAUUUUGUGUACUUAGAAUUCUUCUGGUUUUCAUAUGAAUUUUAAUAUGUAUGCAGAAAGUGCUGUUUGUAUUUUGAUAGGAAGUUCAUUGAAUCUAGAUUAUUUUGGAUAAUUCUGACAUUUUACCCAUAGUAAAUUUUCAAUUACAUGAACAGAGUGAAUGUUUUUCAAUUUUUUUUAUUAUUAAGAAAUUUUCUAUUCAUUUUACAUACCAACCACUGAUCCCCCCUCCUCCCUCUUCCCACCCCUCAGUCUUCACCCCAACCCACCGCCCGUUCCCACCUCCUCCAAGUCAAGGUCUCCCACGGGGAAUGGAGUCGGCAAAGCCUGGUACAUUCAGUUGAGGCAGGUCCAAGCCCUCCACACUGCACCACGGCUGCACAAGGUGUCCCACUGUAGGCACUGGGCUCUAAAAAGCUCGUUAAUUUAUUUCUUUGCUCCCCAGAAGUUUUGUAGCUUUUAGUCUAUUUUUUUUCUCGGAUGAGCUUAAUCUGAAGUGAUUAUUCUUUCUUUUUGAUGUUGCUAUAAGUGUAUUCUUUCUUACUUUCCUAUUCCUAUUAUUACUUUAGUGAACAUAGGAUGAUCAUAACAUUGUGCCUACAAUUUUGCAAGUUCUUUAAAUGGUUUAGUAUACCUUUGUGUACUUUUGGGUUUUUCACAUGCAAGAUCAUGCCAUCUAUAAACAAAGAUUAAUUCUCUUGUUCAAAUUGGAUUCCUGGCUUUUAUUUCUGUUUCUACCUUAGUAACUCUGGUAUUUCCUUGAGUAGAGAAAAUUAUCUUACUUCUGAUCCUAGAGGAAAAAGCUUUGAUUGUUUCACAAUUGAGCAUAUAUAGGCUUUAUUAUAUUGGCAUACUUUCCUUUUAUUUCUAAUUUGUCAAAGGUGAUUUUUUUUAAGAUUGGAAAAGGUUUUAUAAUUUUGUAGAUUGCUUUUGUGCAUCAACAGUCCCCUUAUCUUUGCUGCCAAACAGUGUUGUAUUGUAUGUAUAUAAUACAAUUUACUUAGCCAUUCUCAUUUAGCUGCAUACUGGUUUGUUUCAAGUAUUUGUCUAUGAUGAAUAAAUGACCAUAUUUUAAAACAUUAAAAGUCAAGCCAAUUAGUUCCAUCUGCUAUUUCCUAUGCAAUACACAAUUAUACUUAUUAGCUUUUUACUGGCUUAUACAUGAAAUUUGUCUCAGUGAAUGAUGUUUUCAUAAUAUUUGCAAGAGUCCAAACUAUAAAUGUACCUAAUUUGUUUUUCUAUCAUUUUAACUUUUAGAAGAUUUUCCUUGAGCUCUUGUUAUUUCUUAAAUAGUACAAACUCAUUUUCUUUCUGUGUCUUUGCUUUCAUUUGUAAUUGAAAAAUAAGAGUAAUAGAUGAUACUUGGGUUAUUUUUCUGUGUUUGAUUAAAACUCUGUAUCUCCUGGAAAAUCCAUUACAAGUUUGUAGAAACCACACAUGCAGUUGAAAGAUUGUUUAAUCAUGACUCAGUGUAGAUUAGCAUUUAGUGCCUAACAGCUUCUUUUGGGUAUCUAGUUUUUUGUUUACUGAUUUAUUCUUCCCUUCAUCAAUUUAUGAAUCCACAUUGAGUCCUAUACUUUGUGGCUUUGGACUUAAAAUUGUGAUUUAAUAUAGCUCAUUCCUUUAGUUAAUAGCCUAACAAAGGAGGCAGACAUCAAUCUAAAUAUAAAAUGUUGAUUAUAAUGGAGCUGAUAAUAAGGAAAGGUACCCAGAGCUAUUAUAAUACAGAGCACAGGGAUAUGAUCUUUUUGGGUACAGGGAAGGGGGAUGACUAAGAAAUAAUUCCUUAAAGACAUCUGGGCAGAAAUAUGAAUGUUAAAUGGAAGUUAAACAGAUGAAGCAGAAGCUGGAAAUGGAAGUGCAGCCAAUGCAGGAGGAGCAGCACAUAGAAAAUCCCCAAGGAAUAAAGAUCAUGAAAAGUGCAAAAACUGGCUAAUGGCCCGCGUGGCUUGAGCACCAAAAAGUAUGAGGAGAUUUAGGGAUUUCAGGCUAGAGCAAAAGGAUUAAUCAUUUGAGGUCAUCAGAAAUCAAAUCAAAGAUGUUGGUGUGCAUCCUUCCACCAGCUGAAAGGUAUUAAUAUUUUGUGUUUCAUACUUUCACUUUGGCUGUAACGUGAGGAAUAGAUUUCAGAGGGAAAGUAUGGGAGCAGAAAGAAGAUUUAGAAAACUAAGGCUUUAGAAACGGACUAGGGUAUUGGAAACUGAAAAAAAAUAUAGGCAGAAUCUAGAUCAUUCUGAAGGAUAAAAAAAUGAAAAUUGGGCAUGAGAUGUGGCUAUGAACUCAUCUGUGUGUUCUAGACUCUGUAUUAGGGAUUUAACUCACAUGAGUGGAUGAGAAUAUCACCAUUUACUCUACUCAUAGGAUACACUCCCUUGCAAGGUCUUACUCUAUACACUUAUACACAAAAAUCUCUAAUACCACCAAACUUUAUUCCUUAAAGUUGCUGCAAAUUUGUGCAAAGGGAUUUUAGAUUUCUGAUUAUGCAAGUUGAGACACUGACACUGACCUAAAGACAUUUUUGGAUGAAUUGGAGAAGUGAACCUGAGCCUCAUCUUGUGACACAUUAAAAUGGAGUUCACAUGAGUGUUACAAGUAUGACACUUUGAAGACUUAUUCCAACAUUAUAGUAUGGUGCUAGAGAGCCUGGAGCAAUACUGUAAUGGGCACCUCCUUGUCACAGGUGAAAAAUUUGGUCGUUAUUUUAUAGUUCAAAAGGGACUUUGUUAUGCAUGAGGUGCCUUCUAGUGGCCACUUAAGAAAAUUGUUCAACCUGUACACAAGAAAAAAGGCAGUGAACUGGUAAUGGGCAGUGAUUUGAGAAUAGAUGGGCCAGUCACUACAGUUAGGAGUUUUGAAAGAUGGCAGUAAGUCCAAAAUAUAAGGAAAUACAAGGUAAAAUAUUGAGCUUAGAAGACUCUUUACUGACUAGAAGCCUAAUUCCUACUUUAACACAGCAGGGAUUACCAACAAGGAAGGAAAAUAAUGUGUUAAGUGGAGAAAGCAAGUUAGAUUUGAUGAUCAGAGAUCAAAUCAAUAUCUACAUUAAAUAAUUCAUUGCCUGGUAAAAAAAACUUUGGCAAUCUUCACAAAUCUAUGCUCUUUUUAACUGGAAAUUGGAUGCCUUAGUACACUAUGACUCUUAUUUUUUUCAGAAUUUUUAUCCUUUGUUUCAAGUGGAAUCCUCAUGAGAGGAAAGAUCAUGGGGUUUCUGAAAAUCCCAUCUGCUAUAUGUUUUCUUCCCUCUCUGCACAACCUGGUUGCUUUCAAACUGAUACUCAAACAAGACAAGCAUCCAGGUUUACCUGAUGCCAGCUGGCUUCAACAAUGUUAACAUAAGUCAAAAGGUUGAGUCAUAGUGGGGAAUUUAUUAAUCUGUUUUAAAAAAAAAUAGAGACUAUCUGCAAUUCAUAUCAGGGCUAGAAAUUCAAGUUUCAGUACAUCAAUUUGACAUUCUCAUUAUUCAAAAUCAACAUGGGUGGUGAUAAGCAGCCAUGUACAGUUUGGUAGCUUAACCAAGGUGCCCAGGUGCUUACAGUACAUAUCAGUCUAGAAAUCCUUUAGCUUUACCUGUAUCCAGGAAGAAUCACAAGAAUGAAAUGUGCCUUACAGUUAUAUAGUAGUUAGGUCACUGAAAGAGUUGCUUUCUUAAGCAUGUAACUUGCUACCAGAAAAGAUAAGGAACCUAUAGCAGGUUACAGAAUGACAACUUUUAAUGAGAGAAACAAUCAUACUACAGAACAGUCAGUCCCCUGAGAACUGUUUUCCUACAAAUCUGCCAUGGGAAAUGUCCCCAUCACCUUGACAACUACCCAUGAAAUUUAUGUGAGAAUUAUGAUGAUGGGUUUUAUUGGGACUUGUUUUUAUUUAUUGUAACAUUUCUUUACAUGAGUCACCUUUAAAAUUUAGUCUUCAUAAUGCUCUACAAACAGUGAAAAGUAUUAUUGACUGAAAAAGAUAUUUAGUUGUUUUCUACAUUAAAAUAUGGUAAGUGAGCACAUUCAGAACCCUGCAACUAAGUUACAUAUUCAGGAAAUAUAUGUAUCUGGAAGAGAAAAACGUUGCUUGGGUCCCUUCCAAAGUAAGUACAUUAUUUGCUAUUGCAAGGGAUACUGAGGUUGCUUCACCCAGCGAUCUCACAUUCCACAAACUUUGUUUUCUUAAGGAUUGUUGAAGAUGCAUCUAUAUUGUCUUCUUAUAUAGUAAUAGCCAGUUUUAAAUUCCAGGGUAUAAGUAGCUGUCCCUGAUUUACAAUUCAUAUUUUGCCCAUUUUAAUGAUCUAAGUUUAAUUUUCAAAAGUAAUGACUUCUUAGGAUUGAAAUAUCGACAAGCCAUAUGACAAUUCUCUCUGAAAGAACCAUAGAACAAAGGUGACAAGUGAAACACACUUAUUUUACUGCAACAUAUCUAAUUGUGACAGGAUUUUGCCUGAAGCUUUGCCCUGUAAGGUGCUGAGAGUUGAUAGAUAUCUUUAUACCUUUGAAUCAAAUUUUUUUCUUCAAAUGCGCAGAACUGUUUUAAAAAAUACCUUUUUAGGUAAUAAAUUUGAUUUUUCUGAAUUACCCUGUCAUCAGUGGAGAUACUGAUCUUAGAAUAUAUUGUGACUGCUGCAUUGAAGAAGUGUUUUAGGAUUAUAUAGGUGUACCUUCAUUCUGUAUAAUACCGGUACUUCUCAUUACUUUUCAAGGGAAUUAACGACUUUGGUACCUAAUACUGAUGCCAUACCAUUUACUGCGGUAGAAAGCAACAACAGAUCCACAACAUCCACCACCUAUCUUAUUCUCUUACUUAAAUUUACUUCCACCCUAUAGGAAAGCUACUGAGUAAUACACCAGUAUCUCAUCAGUGUAUUACAUCCUUUUCUGUUCUACAGCAUAAGUGCUCAUUUUUAAAUCCCGAGUUACAGUGCAGACAGCCUGGUAGAUACAAGGCAAAUGGAGAGAUACAGGUCACCUCAGAGGAGAGUUCAAAGGCAUAAAGGCCUGGUAUAUUUUGCCAGAAAACAGUAUUGAGCAGUAAUCACAAUCCAUUUUUCCUUUUGUGAAGACUUCAUAGAAUUUCACAACACUUAUAGAAGUAAUCGAACCGAGACCGGGCUAAUAUCUUGAUAAAAAGGAAUCACCUAUUUAGAACACUUAGAAAAUAUUGAGAUAGUCAUAGAUAAAGCUACUGUAAAUUUAUUUAUUCAUUGGUAGAUAGUAAACAUUUAAUAAAGAUUUUAGCAUUAAUCAUUGCAUUAGGCUAUAAUUUUUUCUUCUUUCUUCACAAUUUUAUAUUUACUCAAGCUUCUGAUGAACUCCAUUGAACUCAAUACACCGUCUUUACAUGGGAGAAAUACAGGACGGAAUAAGUUGUGCUUCUACUGAAUUAUGGUUUAUCUUUGCAACGGUAGUCAUGUAACAGUAUCUUUCCUCAUAUAUACUAGAAAGCUUAGAGUCAAUACUGUGUUCUAUUUUUCAUAUUGUAUAGAGUUUCAUGGCAUCCUUUCCUUGCUAAUAUGGCACUUUUAAUUCUCUCUUCAUUGCUCUCUUUUCUCCUUUAUUUAAUAGUCUCCUUUACCUUUACUUCAUUUUAUUGGUUCACCUGGUGUUUAUGAACUUCUGAUUUGCUUUAUAAUGUUUUUGAAAAAUGAGGAAAGAGAGAGAAGGAAGUAAAGAUGAGAAAGAUAGAAGAAAAUAGUUUGCCUAAUCAACACAUUUUAUCUCUUAUCUCCAGAGUGAAUUCAGAUUUCUGAGAGGAAAACAGGACAGCAAUUUCAAUGAAAUAAUCAAUUGCACACAACAUUAACAUACAAGAAAAGCUCUUCAAGUAGGAAAAAAAAACAUCUUGGAAAGUAUUUCUUACACUAGAGCUGGAAUUGACCCUCUUGUCUCCUCUACUUUUUACUGUAACUGUGUUAUGUAUUUAAUUAUUCAGACUCCUCAACUAAUUGUCACUGUUUUCUUCUGACUCAGAAAAAAGGCAGAUAAGAAGAAACAGGCUCAUUUCUAUGAUCUAGUCCUUAAAAUUAAGCUGUUAUCGCAAUAUGGUCUUGUGUAUAUUAUCUUCAACUAAUUGUUCAUGCUACCCCCUUCGUUUUAUGUGUGAUGAUUACUCUCCUUUAAAUACAUUAAUUUCUCACCCAACAAAUUUGCAAACUAGCAAUUUUUCUAGACACAGCUUAAAUUAUCCUUUCCUAGGUAGUCUUUCUGAACAAUCCACACUGUUUGAAUGCUUGCCUAAGUAUUGCCAUAAUAUCCUUUACCUACUUCUUGGCACAUGUUGAAUCUGUUUAUAUAUCUUUCUAAUAGAUUCUAUGCAACUUGAGGGGACAAGAAUGUCAUCUUUAUUCAUUGCUGUUCAUAGUGCCUUUAUUCAUAUCUUUUUGCAAGAUGUAUCUAAUCAAAUGAGUUGAGGGAGAGUCUGAAAAAAAUUGUUCAGCAGUUUAAACUAUUACUCAGAUGACCUAAACACGUAGAGAAAACUGUAGAUUCUUUGACAGUUUUAUCAUUUGACUAAUUUUGAAAUAGACAAAGCCAUAAUGUCAUAUAUCUGUCUAUAUGUUUCAUUUAGUGCCUGUGUAGUUGGAAAAAUUCUAUGAUACAGCCUAGUUGUUAGAUAAGCUUACAAGGGCAUUCUUCUGUGGGUGGCAGCUGUCCCACAGAGUACCUGCUUUGGGCCUAUCUUUACUAAGCCUCAAAUCACUAGGUAAUUUUCCCUCCAGUGACUACAUACAUUGAAAAGCCCCCAGUAAUUGUUUUCAACCCUACAGAGGCAGUUAAACUCUUCAGUUGGUAAGGACAUAACCCAAUUAUAGCUAGAACUGCUACAUCUUUUAGAUAAAAUCAGUAUUGCUGAUAUUUACUAAGGCACUGGAUGCCUGAAUUCUGCACUGUGCUGUAGAAUUUUUCCUCAAUAUUGUGUUAUAAGAUCCAUUUCUGAAAUGCAAAUAUCAUGAGAUGCCCUGAUGUGCCAAGUUCUUAGCUAUCAGUAUGUUUUUAAUGGGAAUCUGAAAGUUUAAAAUUCUCAUGCAAAUAGACUAAUAGAAAUCCUCAUUAUUUUAAAGUUAGCUCAAAUAGGUUAGGUGUCAAGAGUUCCUCUCCUUGGUGAAUUUCUGAAAAUACUUGUCAUUUACUAUGGUCACAUAAUUGUACACUUAGAAAAUAUUUUUUCCUGAACAUGUGGCAGAGCAAAUUAUAACACAGGAGGGGGGUUAAUGAAAUUGACUGCCAGUGGAGUAAAUAAUCGAGGAACAGAGAACUGGGUAUUAGGUUGAUUAGCAGCUUCGUGCCCUAAAUCAUGCCUUGUUAGAGGUAGGGAGUCUAUUCAAAGUGUUUAAGUGGAAACAGAUGACUUGAAUUAAGCAACACUACACACCUAAUGCUUUUGUGAUGAUGAGCAAUUUUCUGGUUUUCUCUCAAAUUGUUUAAUUAUAGCUGUAAAACUGUACUGAUACUAAAAAUAUUUCCUUUCAUUACUGUGGGAUGUUGUCUGUAUGCUGUGAAUAUGUGUUGCUCUGAUUGGUUGAUAAAUAAAAUGCUGAUUGGCCAGUCACCAGGUAGGAAGUAUGGCGGGGGGGAUAAGCAGAGAGGAGAAUUCUGGGAAGAGGAAGGCUGAGUCAGGAGUCACCAGCCAGACACAGAGGAAGCAAGAUGACAAGGCAGAACUGAGAAAAGGUACCAAGCCACGUGACUAAACAUAAAUAAGAAUUAUGGGUUAAAUUAAAUGUAAGAGCUAGUCAGUAAUAAGUCUGAGCUAAUGGCAAAGCAGUUAUAAUUAAUAUUAGCCUCUGUGUGUUUACUUGGCGGUCAUGAGUGGGAGAGAUUUGUCCUGACUGCCUGCUGGCUGGGACACAGGAAAACUUCUCACUACAUUUCUUAUCUGUCAUAAUCUAUUUAAAGGGUAAUAGUGAUGACUUUUAGAGAUAGUUAUGAAAAUACCAAUAAAUAUGUACUCCCAAACAAGGUACCAACUAAUUAUAUAAUCUAUAAAAUUCAAAACCUUAGUUUAAAAAGCAUGUGAUUCUUAUUUGGUAAAUAUUUGUGUACUUAUGGGCUUACAUGAAGUUUUGGGGUAUUUUACCUUACCCUUCGCUACCCUUACUCUAAAUGAGAAGUGACUUUUGUAAAGUCACAUAUCUCCUUGGUAUCACAUGGACAGCCACAGAACAAACUUGAUUUAAAUAUUGUCAUUUUGAUUAUUUGAUUUUUGAAGUUGCAUUGUUCUAGCCCUUUAUUAAUAGCAAGGCUUCCAAAAUAAUGACAGUAUUGAUGAAGACAGUUUCAAAUUGCAUAUAUUUGCUUUCUAAUAUCCUAUAUUCCUAAAGUAUUAAUAGGGCAAUUUUGAUGUUUCUUAGUUCAUAGAAACAAGAGAUGGUUUGACAUCUGUUCCAUAAUUACCAAAUAUAUUUUUAGUAUGAGUAAUUUUAUCUAGUUCUUGCAUUAUUUUGGGGCACAGGGGAUGAAUGUUUUCAAGUAGAUAUACUAUAAAAACAAGUAUAAAUGUUAAGAUACAAAAAAUCUGCUGAUAGUAAUUAGACAUUAGAGUGAGGCAAAAAGGAUAUGUGAUAUUCAUGUUCCAAAGAAAGAGUAAAUGCAUGAAUGUCUUCUGGAUUAGCAUGAGAUAAAUAUUUUCCAUAUAAUAAUUAAUAAAUGAUUUAAUAAUAGAAUGUAGCCUCAAAAAUAGGUUGAAUAAAUAUAACAUAAAGAGAUUUUUUUGUUUUGGAAGAAUAAUGGCUAAUACACUGAGAGGAGAAUAUGCUAGAUAAGGCAAAUAACGAUUCAUGCACUCAUUCAAUAAAUAUUUAUUGUGUUCCUACCCAGAGAAUGUCAUGCAUUGCUCAGAGCUCUCGGAAUGCAGCAGUGAAUGGGGCACAAUUAUCCUAAUUGGCAAUGUGGAAAUUUCUGAGGAAAUUUUUUCUUGAAUAUUUUAGUUCAGUAUUAGUAAAAUAUAUAAUCAGUGUUUACUUUGUUCACUAAAGGAAACUAUUUUUCACAAGCCAGUAGCCUGUUCCUCUAUAUUUAAGAGUUAAUUUAUCUAUGAAUGAUAUUCUACUAUAAUCAUAAAUCAGUUCCUUGCUCAGCCAUCAUCAAAGAAGCUUCUUCCUGCUGGAGAAGGGAACAAAUACAGAGACCCAUAGCCAGAUAUUAUACAAAGAGAGAGACUGUGGAACACACACAGUUUUAUGUGAAACAUCUCCUUCAAAUCUCUCCCCUCAGAACUCAGUGUAUUGCAAGGAAAAGCAGGCAGAAGGAAUGUAAGAGCCAGAGAGGAUGGAGGACCCAAGAAAAUGAGGUCCUGUAAAUCAACAUGACCAAAGUUCAAAUGAGCUAAUAGGGACUGAAAUAGCAUGAACAAGGGCCACAUGGGGCUAUGCCAGGUACUCUGAAUAUAUAUUUUAGUGUUUUGAUGGGAUUCCUGAGGAUGUGAACAAGUGGGUCCCUGAUUCCUGUGCCCUUUCUUGGACUCUUUUCCUUCUGUUUGUCUACUCUGAUAUGUUAAUUUUUGUUUGAUUUUAUUAUAUUUUAUUGUUAUCCUUUAGAAGCCUGUUUGUUUUCUAAUGAGAGACAGAAAGGGAGUGGGUCCAUAUGGGAGAAGUUUGGGGAGGAAUUGGGAAGAGUAAAGGCAGGGGAAUAUUUAAUCAUGAUACAUUAUGUGUGAAAAAAUAUCUAUUUUCAAUAAAAGGAAAAAUAAAUAAAGGUUAGUUUAUUUGUAAGUAAAAUGACCAAAGCCUACUAGUCAUUCCAUAAAAUAAUACUGAUAUCAUGCUAAUUAUUUCGAAGUAAGGUAAUAAAAUGGUAACUAAAAUGAAUCAUCCAUGCAUUGUCAAAUUCAAUAAAUUGUUGUAAAUACAUAGCUCUUACUCCUGGCUUUAUACUGUAAAACAAAGAAAUGCUCUGUAAUUUAGAGUGAAAUGCUGAAAAUAGACUUUAACAUGCUGAUACAUAUAUCUACAUAUGAGCAUGAGUUUCAUGGAACUGUAUGAAGGAUGAAAGGCAAACUUUAUAAAAAUGUUUUGGUGCAACAAAAUAAAGAGCAAUAUAGUGUGAUGUUGAAAAAUUUCCUUUCUGAGGAAGUGCUGUUAGACAUGUAUGUGCAUGUGUGUCCACAUGUCCAGGAUGGGAUUUGUUGUGAAAUGUUCUAUGAAUAGUAAAAACAUGCAUGUGAAGAUUUUAAAAGGAUUCGCAUGGGGAUUGAUAGAUGUCUUGGUGCUUAAGAGUACUUGCUACUCUUGCAGAUGAACUGAAUUUAGUUACUAGGACCCAUAUAGCAACUUAUAACUCUAUGUAACUCCAGUUUCAGCAGAUCUAACACUGUCUUAUAGCUCCUACAGGCACUGGACACAAGCUGCAUCUGAAUACAUGCACGCAAAAUGCUCAUACACAUAUAGAAAAAUAAAUAAUAAAACAAAAAGAUCAAAAUGACCUGUUUGAAGAACUAAGAAAAGUGAGCAUAUAAAUAAGUUGCUAAAGAACAUAAAUUGUCUUAUCAGCAUCAUAACUAAUUCAACUAUGUAUCCAUAUUCUGAAAAUCUGAAAUUGCUCUAAAAUCUAAAAUUAUUUCUAGCCUCAUAUGAUAUGUUAAAGUUUUAGAUUUUGGACCAUAUUAGAUUUUGUUACAUUUUAGAUUUUUGAUUUUUAGAUUAUGAAUGCUCAACGAGUAAUGUGUAAAAGAAUAUUCUAAAAACAUAAAUCUCUAAAAUAUGAACCACUUUCUGUUCCAAACAAUUUGAAUUUAGAUAACUCUAUAAGAUGAAUAUCAUCUCUCUUUUAAUUCUGAAAUUUGGAUUGACUGGUGUCUUGGUGUAGCCUCCUCUGGAAACUUUGACUCUGAGUAGGGCCAUUCUAUUUUUACAUUGCUUGAUAUUAGGGUAUAGCAUGGAGUGCUCUUGACAUGAAAAAUAUAUCGAGACAGUAUAUGCUUAAUCUAGUAUGCACAAGCAUGCAAUGAACUUCAAAAAAUCUUGUUUUGUCCUACAAUGUUGUGAGAAAUAAAUAUUUUAAAAAAAUGAAAAUUUCAUUUCAUUCCCCUUUUGUAAUUUCUAGCUUGCUGUUUUUCCUUAGCUUUUUGGAAAUAACUUUUUGCCAGAGUAAACUGGAUAUUACAUCUAUGCUGCAACCUCCAACCAUUACCUAUACAGAGAUAAUUUUUAUUUUACUGGGAAAAAACCAGUAGGAGAUAUGUAAACAAAUAAGAACUGUUGAAGACAUACUUGCUAAAUGCAGGCACUAAAGGGGUAUCCUGGAUUUGUGAUGUUGGAAAAAGAAUGGACUACCUAAGUAGAUGCAUAAUCUUUAUUUUGUUAUAUUUUUGUGUGUCUGUGUGAAUAUUUGCAAUGUUAUGUGUAUUCUGUCUGAUGUCCACAAAGGACAGAGGAGAGGAGGGUGUCGGAUCUCCUGGAACUGAAAUCACUUUUAGUGGAGUUGUCUGACUUGUGUUCUAGGAACCAAACUUAACCCAGAACCUCUGGAAGAGCAACAAGGUCUCUUAAUAGCUUAGCCAUUUUUCCAGCCACUGAAGUAUAAUUUUUCAAUUGAAAAGUAUCAUAUAUUGUAGAAGAAUUGGGGAUGAGGCAUAGGAAAAUGAGAGAGGACAACAAAAAUGUUUUUUUAAAUGAUAACUAAAACCUGGCUUAUUAAUGCCAACACAUAGAAUGGUAAAAAGUAGUACUCACCAAUUUCUGAGAUCAGAGUUCUGACCUAUUUAUAUUUUUAGGUAAAACCAUUGAAAAGCUACUCAAGAAGACCAAAAGCAUCUGUAAUCUAACAAACUUGAGAAUAAUGGGACAUAGUCAAUGGAUAAGUUAUUUAUGUAAUAAGAUAGAGGGAAAGGUAGAAUACCUUAUUAAGUAUUCUUCAGAACACUUUUCAGAUUUCACUGAUGAUUCAAAUUAGGGAACUUGUCUGUCCCCUGUAUAAAAUCUAUUCCCUGUGUGCUAUUUGUAAAGCUUUUACACCUAUUAUUCUGCAAUCCAAUUUCAGUAAA